rnacentral:rRNA from 1 species
UACAGAGGGUGCAAGCGUUAAUCGGAAUUACUGGGCGUAAAGAGCACGUAGGCGGUCGUGUAAGUCAGAUGUGAAAUCCCCGGGCUUAACCUGGGAACUGCAUUUGAUACUGCAUGACUAGAGUAGAGUAGAGGAAAGCGGAAUUUCCGGUGUAGCGGUGAAAUGCGUAGAGAUCGGAAGGAACACCAGUGGCGAAGGCGGCUUUCUGGAUUCAUACUGACGCUGAGGUGCGAAAGCGUGGGGAGCAAACAGG